rnacentral:rRNA from 1 species
AUUGAACGCUGGCGGCAGGCCUAACACAUGCGAGUCGAGCGGAUGAAGGGAGCUUGCUCCUGGAUUCAGCGGCGGACGGGUGAGUAAUGCCUAAGAAUCUGCCUGGUAGUGGGGGAUAACGUCCGGAAACGGGCGCUAAUACCGCAUACGUCCUGAGGGAGAAAGUGGGGGAUCUUCGGACCUCACGCUAUCAGAUGAGCCUAGGUCGGAUUAGCUAGUUGGUGGGGUAAAGGCCUACCAAGGCGACGAUCCGUAACUGGUCUGAGAGGAUGAUCAGUCACACUGGAACUGAGACACGGUCCAGACUCCUACGGGAGGCAGCAGUGGGGAAUAUUGGACAAUGGGCGAAAGCCUGAUCCAGCCAUGCCGCGUGUGUGAAGAAGGUCUUCGGAUUGUAAAGCACUUUAAGUUGGGAGGAAGGGCAGUAAGUUAAUACCUUGCUGUUUUGACGUUACCAACAGAAUAAGCACCGGCUAACUUCGUG